rnacentral:lncRNA from 10 species
GAAAUUAAAUGUGUGGCUACAACAUCAAACAACCAGAAUUUAAGAAUUAUUACAGAACAGAAUAAAGUGAGGGUCUGAAGAAUUAUCCAUAAAGCAUGAUCCUUUCAGAACGCUGGGCUUUAACUGAACACAUAGCUACCCAACUAAAGCAUCUUUUGCAGCUAGAAAUGGCCAUGUGAUCAAGUUUGGAGGAACUAGAGGGGUUGGCAAGUGAUGAGUGUGACUUUGGACCACCUCCUUGAAGAUGCAGCUGCUUCCCAGGACUUCUUUCCCACUUCCCACAGGCUGGAGAGUGGGCACCCAGGCUUUAGUCACAACCACCAAGAUGACCCUGUGGGGAGGUGACAGGGAGAGAAGAUGGACCUCUUGGAGAGGAGCAGCCACUUCUCCAGCUAUGGACUGCUGACAUAAGUACUAUUUAGAGAGAGGAAAAUAAACUAUCCCGUGUAAGUCA